CCUACGGGUGGCAGCAGUGGGGAAUAUUGGGCAAUGGGCGCAAGCCUGACCCAGCAACGCCGCGUGAAGGAAGAAGGCUUUCGGGUUGUAAACUUCUUUUCUCAGGGACGAAGAAAGUGACGGUACCUGAGGAAUAAGCCACGGCUAACUACGUGCCAGCAGCCGCGGUAAUACGGAGGUGGCAAGCGUUAUCCGGAUUUACUGGGUGUAAAGGGCGUGUAGGCGGGAAAGCAAGUCAGAUGUGAAAACCAUGGGCUCAACCUGUGGCCUGCAUUUGAAACUGUUUUUCUUGAGUACUGGAGAGGUAGACGGAAUUCCUCGUGUAGCGGUGAAAUGCGUAGAUAUGAGGAGGAACACCAGUGGCGAAGGCGGUCUGCUGGACAGCAACUGACGCUGAGGCGCGAAAGCGUGGGGAGCAAACAGGAUUAGAUACCCUAGUAGUC
rnacentral:rRNA from 1 species